GGAACUGAGGGAGGAGUAGUGAAAUGCGUUGAUACCCUCGGGAACACCAGUGGCGUAGGCGGAUCUCUGGGAGAAGAUUGACACUGAGACACGAAAGCUAGGGGAGCGAAGCAGAUUAGAGACCUGCGUAGUCCUAGCCGUAAACGCAUGCUUGCUAGCUGCAUGAAUCUACCUUCGGGUGGUAUCGUGUGGCGAAGGUAACCCGUUAAGCAAGCCGCCUGGAAAGUACGGCCGCAAGGCUGAAAUUCAAAGGAAUUGGCGGGGAGGCACACAACCAGUGGAACAUGUGGUUUAAUUCGAGACUAACCGAAGAACCUCACCAGGGUUUGACAUGUAGCUGCACGUCUUAAGAAAUUAAGACUCUCUUGAAGGUGCUACACAGGUGCUGCAUGGCUGUCGUCAGCUCGUUCCGUGAGGAGUGCCCUUAAGUGGGACAACGAGCGCAACCCCUAUUACAUGUUAGAAAUGUCAUGUAAGACUGCCUUGCCAUUUGGCGGGGAGGAAGGAGGGGCAGACGUCAAGUCCGCAUGGUCCUUAUGCCCUGGGCUACACACAUGUUACAAUGAGUACGGCAAUGAGUCUGUCGCGAGCACGUAAGUGUAAGCUAAUCUCUUAAAUGUACUCUCAGUGGGGAUUGAGGUCUGCAACUCGACCUCA
rnacentral:rRNA from 1 species